rnacentral:tRNA from 1 species
GAGGGUGUUGCUCAGUAGUACAGCACAUGCUUCACAUGUAUGAGAUUCUGGGUUCCAUCCCUGGCAGCUCUA